UACGUAGGCAGCGAGCGUUGUUCGGAGUUACUGGGCGUAAAGCGUGCGUAGGCGGUUUUGUAAGUUUGGUGUGAAAUCUCCCGGCUCAACUGGGAGGGUGCGCCGAAAACUGCAAGGCUGGAGUGUGGGAGAGGUAGGCGGAAUUCCUGAUGUAGCGGUGAAAUGCGUAGAUAUCAGGAGGAACACCUGUGGUGUAGACGGCUUACUGGACCAUGACUGACGCUGAGGCACGAAAGCGUGGGGAGCAAACAGG
rnacentral:rRNA from 1 species